UAGGGAAUCUUCCACAAUGGACGCAAGUCUGAUGGAGCAACGCCGCGUGAGUGAAGAAGGUUUUCGGAUCGUAAAGCUCUGUUGUUGGUGAAGAAGGAUAGAGGUAGUAACUGGCCUUUAUUUGACGGUAAUCAACCAGAAAGUCACGGCUAACUACGUGCCAGCAGCCGCGGUAAUACGUAGGUGGCAAGCGUUGUCCGGAUUUAUUGGGCGUAAAGCGAGCGCAGACGGAAGAAUAAGUCUGAUGUGAAAGCCCUCGGCUUAACCGAGGAACUGCAUCGGAAACUGUUUUUCUUGAGUGCAGGAGAGGAGAGUGGAAUUCCAUGUGUAGCGGUGGAAUGCGUAGAUAUAUGGAAGAACACCAGUGGCGAAGGCGACUCGCUGGUCUGCAACGGACGCUAAGGCUCGAAAGCAUGGGUAGCGAACAGG
rnacentral:rRNA from 1 species